rnacentral:lncRNA from 10 species
CAGAGAGCAAGAGGAAGUGAGCAAGGGAGGUCAUUCGCAAUUCUGUCACUCCUAAAUUUGUCUGAACCUUUUUGGAAGGCAUUUGUAUUUCCUGCCAGCACCACCUCUUGGGGGUGAUGAAUUCCAAUAAGUUUCAAUCCGUUUAUUACUCACUGUGAGAGAAAUUGCUUCCUUUUAUGUCUGGAACUAAACCUGGAUCACAUUUCACAGGAUAUCCCCUAGUCACAGAGUUUUGGAAUCUGACCUGGAGGCAAAGGUAUGGAUGAGAUCACAUAGCAAGGAGAUUGCUGCUGAGAAGGAGUCAAAGCCUGGGUUUUACUUGUGGCCUUGCUGCUACACCAACUUUACUGACAUGCCAUUCUGGGAUAGUCUUUUCUCUCUGAGGCUUCAAGAGAAGAUGAGAAUACAUUCCAUCCCUACCUCUUGGAGUCAUUGUGAGGACUCAGAUGAAGUGCAGCAUCACGCAACAGAACUCAGAUGCCCUCACUGCAUCUCAAAUGCACUCAGAGAAAGCAUGGAGACACAUGCUGUUUCGGCACUUUCCCCAAGAUCAGAGAGUUAUAGGAGCUGGAGCUGGAUAGAAGCCUGGUGUACACCUCUCUGACUAUUGCUUCACUGGGCCACCUGGCAUCCUGUGGAGGGGCUUCUGAGCACCUGUAAUCUGAUGGAGAGCAUGGCAGAGGCAGCUGGAUGCUAGACACUGAGGAGACACCUGAGUCUGACAAGUGGAAAGAGAUGUGUGUGGGGAAAGGAGAUCAGGCAAAGGCUCCGCAGUAGGAAGGCCAGAGUGGCCCCUGAGACCACAGGAAGAAAAGGGAAGCAAUGCUGGACAGCCGGCCAGCUCCUGGGCUGUGGGGCCAGCAGCCAUUAGAGACAGUCAGAGUAGAGGACCCUUAGACCCCACCAGACCCUGCAGAGGAUGAAACAGAAGGAUGCAAAGAGAUUUGUCCUCUUAAGAGAGGAAACAAAUACAAAUCACAAUGAAAUGCCACUUUCCUGCAUCGGAUUAACGAAUACUCGAAAGCUUAAUACUACUUAGUGUUGGCCAGGACUUUCCUUUUGCACAAUUUUGAUGGGCGAGUCAAUUGGGAAAGUGUUUGUGAGUGCAGUUUGGCAAUAUGUGUGUAUCUACAUUUUAAAUGCACAUACUUUUUGGUCCAGAAAAAGUCCCCUGAGGAUACACAUAUACCUGCAGGAUAAAUGCACACAUACAUAUAUUUAGGGUUGGCAUUUUUACAAACAGAAAAUUAAAAAUGAUCUUCAUCAGUAGGUUAAGCAAAUAAAUUAUGAUAAUACAAACUAGGGAAUACUGUGGCUUCGUAUUACUCUUAAAAUAAAACCCCAAGCCCUUUCCCAUGGCCUAUAAGGCCUGGGAUGAUUUGGUCCCUUCCCCGUUCUCACCCUAAUUUUCCACUGCUCUUUCUCUCCUCCUGCUCCAGUUCCUAGAGGCUAUAGCUGUUCCACAGACCAAGGCAGUUCCACCCUUAGGGCCUUUGCUCCUGCAGUUUCUCCUUCUUGGAAGGUUUUCUCCCCCAGAUAUUAAUACGACUGUCUCCUCACUCUAUUUAUACCUCUGUUCAAAUAUCAACAUGUGGUGAACAGCUUCGAAAAUGACCCUUAACGACCUGCCCUCCUGGUAUGGAUUCCCUCCCUUCUAGUGUGAGCUGGACCUAGUGACUUACUAAUAAUGAAUAGAAUAUUUUAAAAGGGGGGAUUUCACUUCUGAGAUCUUAUAACAGAAUACCAUGACUUCAUCUUGCAUGCUCUUUCUCUCUCCCUCUGUCUUCCUCUCCCUGUCAUUCUUGCUUGUGAGUAAGCAGGCUGCCAUGCUGUGAGCUGCCCUAUGGAGAAGUCCACAUGGCAAGGAACUGAGGGAUACCUUCAGCCAACAGCCAAUGAGGAACUGAUGCUCCCAGAGAACAGCCUGUAGGAAACUAAUUCCUGCUAACAACCUUCAGAUGACUGCAGGUCUGGCUGGCAACUCAACUGAAGCCUGAGAGAGAUCCUGAAGCAGCGGGUGCAGCUAAGCCUCUGCUGGAUUCCCAUUAGACAGAAACUCAUCACCAGUUUUCCAUGAGAGCACCAAGCCUGUGAUUUCAGUAGAAGCUUAACUGCUCGUCUUUGAGGCACCAAAUCUGAAAAGCGAUCUUCCUGAAGACCAUGCUAAGGCAAGAACAUCCAUAUAAGGGAGAAUUCCUGAAAGUGUUCUAACACUUCAGUGGAAACUCAUCAAUGCUCUGUACCCAGAAUAAUCCCAUUUCGGAGGGUGCAUGGAUGGGGCAGAUGCAUGAUGUGCCCUGAGGAGCAGAGGAAACAUGGGCUUGGGUUGUGAAGGAUCUCAGAGAAGCUCUCCUGGACUGGCCCAAAUGUCUCAAACUUUAAUGUGCACAUAAAUCUAUUAAAAUGCAGCUUCCACUUCAACACAUCUGGAGUGAGACCAGGUAUUCUGCAUUUUUAACAAACUCUGGUGUAUGCUGGCGGAUGUCUGGAGUGCUGCUGGUCCAUGGACCGCAUGUUGAGUAGCAAGGCCCU